rnacentral:lncRNA from 1 species
CUACUUAAGCACUCAAAUACAGACGGAUUUCUUUUUAUAACUACUUCGCUAUUAGCCAGGUUAAUCGCUUUUUUGAUGGCUGGACACUUUGCAUAUGAUAGGGUACUGCAGUAUAUUUGUUAUAUAUUGGGUGGUGCCUUUCUUCUGGUUCAUUCUCAUUCUGGUAUGUCCUUUCUUUAUUGUGCCCAUUCUCAACAUUUUUUAAGACAGAGUAUAAAAAACCUUUGCAAUAACCGUGUUUUCUUCCAAUCUCGAGGUUAUAUUUUUUUUUAUAGUCGCCAUCUUGUGUGCAGUACUCUAAUGCUCUUUGAAAAUAAUAGCAGAAGGCGGACUUUUUAU